rnacentral:sRNA from 1 species
UCAUGGCCAGGACGCGGUUGGAGCUAUCGAAAAUCA